AUUAUGUUCAAUUUUAUAGUAACGAAAAUCAAGAAGUAUACCAAGACAUGUAUUAUAAUAAGUUAUCAGGUUCAUGGGGAAUAUAUUUUAAAAUAGAAUUUGAAAAAUAUGUUAGAGAUAAUACUGGAAUACCUAGAACUUUAGGUUCAAGAAUAAAAUUUUUAUUUGAAAGACUUGCAUAUAUAUGUCAACAAAAACAAUU
rnacentral:lncRNA from 1 species